GGAAAAAUCCAAUCUUUGCGGUGUUUCCUAUCACAGAGCUCCAAAUGGUGUACCGAAGCGUCGGAUCGAGACUGAAACUGUAAAGAACAAAGUCAUUCUAAAGUACGACAAUUGGCUUCGAUGUACAUGUAUGUACACAAUUUACCUUCCUGCAAGUUUAACUUGAAAACAUAUCGAUUUGAAUGGAAUACUCUACAUAUAAAAUUAUUUUGAAACAUAAAUUCAUCUUAAUAUGUUCAUUUUCUUGCUAUUUAAUUAUAAUCUUAACAAAAAAUU
rnacentral:sRNA from 1 species